GGCAGAGCUCAGAGAGAAAAGGGAGAUGUGUGAACUUGUGAAGAUGCAGACAGCUGUGCCAGGACACCAUUCUCCACCCACUACGCCAGUAAGGUCCAAAAGUUCACCAAGACUCUGUGCCGGCAAAGCCAGAGAAGAGGCGCUGACCUGAGAUGGACGUGGCAUGUGUAACAGGCAGGGCCCUGCCCUCAGGGUGUUCACAGCCUGCCUUCUGGACCAAAACCCAACCCAGACUCAUCACCUGGACUUGGAGAGAUUUUCGAAACUCCUGGCAGAUUUCACGCUCGCAAAGAGAACUCACACCUGGCAGCACACCUGUGCUGGAGAGAGGACUGGACACUGCUUUCAAUGCUGGGCAGAAGCCCUGCCCCUUCGUGUCAAGGACAGCCCCUCAACAAUGUUCCCCCACAAGAUUAUGGAACUGGAGGGCCUAGGUUAUAAAGUAUGUACACAUGCUUUAAAACAACAUAGACUUUUAGAAAAAUCCAUGUGUGGGGCGCCUGGGUGGCGCAGUCGGUUAAGUGUCCGACUUCAGCCAGGUCACGAUCUUGCGGUCCGUGAGUUCGAGCCCCGCGUCAGGCUCUGGGCUGAUGGCUCGGAGCCUGG